rnacentral:rRNA from 1 species
CCCGACUGCUAUCAGAGUGGGAUUAAGCCAUGCGAGUCGACGUAGCAAUAUGUGGCGAUACGGCUCAGUAACACGUAGUCAACAUGCCCAGGGGACGUGGAUAACCUCGGGAAACUGAGAAUAAACCGCGAUAGGUCAUGAUUUCUGGAAUGGAUCAUGGCUUAAAUCUACAUGGCCCCUGGAUUGGACUGCGGCCGAUCAGGCNGUUGGUGAGGUAAUGGCCCACCAAACCUNUAACCGGUACGGGCUCUGAGAGGAGAAGCCCGGAGAUGGGCACUGAGACAAGGGCCCAGGCCCUAUGGGGCGCAGCAGGCGCGAAACCUCUGCAAUAGGCGAAAGCCUGACAGGGUUACUCUGAGUGAUUUCCGCUAAGGGGAUCUUUUGGCACCUCUAAAAAUGGUGCAGAAUAAGGGGUGGGCAAGUCUGGUGUCAGCCGCCGCGGUAAUACCAGCACCCCGAG